rnacentral:misc_RNA from 1 species
GUGGAUACGAUAUCUCUCAAAAACUGGGAUCAAGAGCAUGUUCUCACUGGUGGCCAUGGACUUAUGGUGCAAGGGUACAAUCCUGUAAUUAAAACUCUUGCGAAAGAUCUCGACAUCCAACUGAAUCACAGAGUGACAAGGAUCUCCCGACACUCCAUCACUAAUAGAGUAACAAUCACUAUAGAGGGCGGGACAAAUUUCGUAGCUGAUGCUGCUAUCAUUACGGUUCCCAUUGGAGUUCUCAAAGCUAAUAAGAUCCAGUUUGAGCCUAGGCUACCUGAGUGGAAGAUGUCGGCUAUCUCUGAUAUGGGUGUUGGCAAUGAGAACAAAGUAGCUCUCCGAUUUGAUACUGUUUUCUGGCCUAAUGUCGAAGUGUUAGGAGUCGUGGCACCAACAACGGGCGCCUGUGGUUACUUCCUCAAUCUUCACAAGGCAACAGGGCAUCCUGUUCUUGUCUUCAUGGCCGCAGGAAGAUUCGCUUAUGACAUAGAGAAGUUGACGGUUGAAGAGGUUACUGACUUUGUCAUGGUGCAGCUGCGGAAAAUGCUACCUGAUGCCAC